CCGGGUGUAGCGCAGCUGGUAGCGCGCCUCGUUCGGGACGAGGAAGCCGUGGGUUCGAAUCCCGUCACUCGGACCA
rnacentral:tRNA from 1 species